rnacentral:lncRNA from 1 species
UUCAGAGGUUAAUAAAUAUGGAAUUUUCUCUGGUAAAAGUCUAAAACUGAUUCAUACCUCUCUAUAACAGCAUUUUUAUAUAACAAUUAUUUACUAUAAAAUCAAAUUUUUCUUAGAACCGAUUUUUAAAUUAUAUUUUACUUCUCUAUAAUAACAUUUUACCUAUAACAACAACAACCAUAUUUAUAACAGAACACUCUUUGUAAAAAUUAUCCCUCUAUAACAGCUAUAUAGAAUCUUUAAGAUUACUAAUAAUAAUUCUAAAAAUAUGCACACAAUCUUUUACAUUAAAUAAAGUUUCUAUCUUGCCUAAGACAUAAGAUUUGAAGAUCUGCACAUGAUAUAUUUUUCAUUGAAUACAUUUUUGCUGAGAAUUUGGACAUGAAAGUUCGCCAAUUCAAACAUUAUAUCUGUAGUAAGAUAAUGAAAUCUACGAAAUUUUUACAAUUAUAAAAUUCUUCCAUCAAUUUUGAAAGAAUUUAUUUUCCCAGUAACUUUAAAAUGUGUGCAGUCGUGNNNNNNNNNNNNNNNNNNNNNNNNNGGUUACGAAAACUAUCCAAUAGAUGGCAACGUUAACCAACAAAAAUUCAGAGGUUUAAUAAAUAUGGAAUUUUUCUCUGGUAAAAGUCUAAAACUGAUUCAUACCUCUCUAUAACAGCAUUUUUAUAUAACAAUUAUUUACUAUAAAAUCAAAUUUUUCUUAGAACCGAUUUUUAAAUUAUAUUUUACUUCUCUAUAAUAACAUUUUACCUAUAACAACAACAACCAUAUUUAUAACAGAACACUCUUUGUAAAAAUUAUCCCUCUAUAACAGCUAUAUAGAAUCUUUAAGAUUACUAAUAAUAAUUCUAAAAAUAUGCACACAAUCUUUUACAUUAAAUAAAGUUUCUAUCUUGCCUAAGACAUAAGAUUUGAAGAUCUGCACAUGAUAUAUUUUUCAUUGAAUACAUUUUUG